AUGGGAGACCUGGGAAGAAACUCCUGGCUUCUGGCUUUGGCCUGGCCCACCACCAGUUGUUGUAGCCAUGUAGGGAGUAAACCCGCAAAUGGAAGAUCAAUCUCUCUGCCUCUCCAUAUCUCUCUCCCUCUCUGCAACUCUGCUUUUCAAACAAAUAAACCUUUAAAAAAUAGAAAUGAAAUAAUCCAAAAGUCCUCAGCACAGGCAGGGAGGCCCCGGCUCCUCCCACCCUCCCUCCUGCCACCCCUCCCUCCUUGCCUCCACCCCAAUCUGCCCCUGGGCCUUUGCCCAGCAGUGCCCCUCCCUCCUUCACUUCCUUGGGGGUUCUGUUCAGAUGUCAUGGAUUCAGAGGCCCCUCCGCCCCCACUCCCUGACCUGCCCACUGCCUGUCCCCAAGCACAGCUUUCGGUCCGACCUGAAGUGCGUCCGACAUGCGCGUGCAUCUCCCCCAUCCGUCCACCCAUUGAGAAUGCCCGGCGCAGAGGGCCCGCCCCGCGGAAGGGCAGGCUCAGGGGAUGCAGAGCUCAGUGGCCAGAGCCCUGGCAAGGCAGAGGGCGAGCAGAUGGGUGUGGCAGGAGCCGGACGGGAGCAGGAUCCCUGGCAGGUGAUGCAUGUCCUCCGCUCUGGUCCCCUCUCUCGUGCGGCGGUGAGACUUCCCCAACCCCACAACCCAGGAGAGCUCCGGGCAGCAGGCGGAAGAAGGCGGCUAUGCCUGAGCCCAACACGGCAGGAGUUCUCCUGUUCCCCACAGCGCCAGGAAGCACAGUUGCAGGAGAGCUGCUGUCUGGGGGCAAGGGCUCGGCUGGCCCUCCUGGACCCGACCCUGCCCUGGCCUGGUGUUCCAUCCUCCAAUCUUUACAGCAAAAGGCCAUGGCCAGUUCAGCCUUAGGAUGUCCCACCCCUGAAAGAUCUCUGACCAGGCCAAACGGUGGGGAUAGCCCCCUGUAUUUUUGCACUGUCUCACACCAUGGAGGCCUUCUUAAAAAGAAAUGCAGUUGGGGGCCACCACCGUGA
rnacentral:lncRNA from 1 species